GGCCGCAUGGCGCAACGGUAGCGCGUCAGAUUCCAGUUCGAGAAUCCUGAAGGCUCUCUGUUCGAAUCAGGGUGUGGUCA